CAUUCACUCCUCAGCACCAUGAGGCCCCUUUCCUGGGGAGUGUGAAAGAGCCUGGCCUCCCUUGUUGGUAGAGCUACAGCCACUGGUGUCAAGGUGCUCAGGGGUCUGAGGCCCCUGGGACUCUGUGUGUCUUAGUGAAGGCUCUGCCCAUACUCCAUGCAACAUUCUCUGUCACUCUGGAGGUCCCAGGAAGGGAAGAGUAUCAGGGGAGAUCUCCUAUGCGCUGGUUUGCAAAGAUAAAACUGGAUGUGCGAGUUCGAAGGUCUACAUUUUGCAAUAGGAGAUAAUGCUGUUUAAAUCAAUUAUGAUAAAGUUCAGGUGGAACAUUAAUGUAAACAAAUCUUCAGUUUGGCAGCCAACAGAAGAUAUGAUUCUUUCAAGACAAAAGGAG
rnacentral:lncRNA from 1 species